UACCAGCCCAAUGCUCUUCCAACUGAGCUACGUCAGGACGGCUCGACCCGUCCUGACCGCGUAGCUCAGUUGGAAGAGCAUUGGGCUGGUA